GUAAUUAACUGCGGUUAUUCGGUGCUUAAUUAGCAAUUAAUUGGCGGCUAAUUAGCAUUUCUGACCCUCAGCUAGCCCGCUUUUGUCGGGUUUCGUGUUGUUUGCCGGGCUGCAAAGGGGUUUGAGCAUAGAGUUGUCGCUUUGUUGGGUUUCUUGCUGUUAAUUAGGGGCUAAUGUGGGGGGUUAAUUAAAACGGGGUUAAUUAAGCAGCCCUUAUUGGAGCUGAGCGCGUUUGAAUGGCUUUGAAGGCCAAAAAGCGGCGUGGAAUGGGCUUAAAACUCUCCUAUGCUUUUGAAUGGGGGUCGUGGUGGCUUUGUUAAUUAGCCGCGUGUUAAUGAAGGCCGAACGGGGGGCAGUGGGGAGCAGCAGGUGCAGUUAAUUAGCUCCAGGUGGCGUUAAUUAGCCCAGGUGGACCAUCUCUAUGGUCUUGGAGGACCUUUCCGAGCCCACCCCUCUCCAACUCUAUGGUCUUGGAGGACCUUUCCGUGCCCCCCAACUCUAUGGUCUUGGGGGACCUUUCCGAGCCCCCCAACUCUAUGGUCUUGGAGGACCUUUCCGAGCCCCCCAACUCUAUGGUCUUGGAGGACCUUUCCGAGCCCCCCAACUCUAUGGUCUUGGAGGACCUUUCCUACCUCAAUGGGGUCUUAAUGGGGUUUUAAUUUGGGGUCUUAAUGGGGUUUUAAUUGGGGUCUUAACGGGGCCUUAAUUGGGGCGCUAGUUGGGUUCUUAUGGGGUCCCUAUGGGGUUCUGUGGGGUCGGGGGUGUUGUAGGGUCCCACUGGGGUCUCUAUGGGGUCUCUAUGGGGUCUGAGAGGGUUUAUAGGGUCUCUAUGGGGUCCUAUGGGGUCUUAUGGGGUCCUUUUGGGGUCUGAGAGGGCUUAUAGAGUCUGUAUGGGGUCCUAUAGGGUCCUUAUGGGGUCUAAAAGGGUUUAUAGGGUCUCUAUGGGGUCCUAUGGGAGCUUUAUGGGGUCCUUAUGGGGUCUGAGAGGGCUUAUAGGGUCUUUAUGGGGGCUUAUAGGGUCCUUAUGGGGUCUGAGAGGGCUUAUAGGGUCCUUAUGGGGUCUGAGAGGGUUUAUAGGGUCUUCUGGGGUCUCUAUGGGGUCUGAGAGGGCUUAUAGGGUCUUUAUGGGGUCCUAUAGGGUCUCUAUGGGGUCUUAUGGGGUCUGAGAGGGCUUGUGGGGUCUUUAUGGGGUCCUAUAGGGUUUCUAUGGGGUCUUAUGGGGUCUGAGAGGGCUUAUAGGGUCGUUAUGGGGUCCUAUGGGGUUGCUAUUGGGCUCCUUAUGGGGUCUGAGAGGGCUUAUAGGGUCUUUAUGGGGUUUUAUGGGGUCCUUAUGGAGUCUCUAUGGGGUCUUAUGGGGUCUUUAUGGGAUCUGAGAGAGUUUAUGGGGUCCUUAUGGGGUCCUUAUGGGGUCUGAGAGGGCUUAUAGGGUCCUUAUGGGGUCCUAUGGGGUCUAAGAGGGCUUAUAGGGUCUCUAUGGGGUCUCUAUGGGGUCCUAUAGGGUCCUUAAGGAGUCUAAAAGGGUUUAUAGGAUCUCUGUGGGGUCCUAUAGGGUCUUAUGGGGUCCUUAUGGGGUCUGAGAGGGUUUAUAGGGUCUUUAUGGGGUCCUAUAGGGUUUCUAUGGGAUCUUAUGGGGUCUGAGAGGGUUUAUAGGGUCUUUAUGGGGUCCUAUAGGGUCUCUAUGGGGUUCUAUGGGGUCCUUAUGGGGUCUGAGAGGGCUUAUAGGGUCUUUAUGGGGUCCUUAUGGGGUCUGAGAGGGACGCAUAGGGACUCAUUAAUGACCCUAUAAACUCUCUGGAUCCCGUAAGGACCCCAUAAGGACCCCAUAGAACCCCAUAAGACCUCAUAGAGCCCCAUAGGACCCCAUUGGACCCCAUAGAACACCUUUAAGCCCCCA
ensembl:lncRNA